AACGAACGCUGGCGGCGCGUCUUACCCAUGCAAGUCGAGCGGCGGGCAGCAAUGCCGAGAGCGGCGGACUGGUGAGUAACACGUGGAUAACGUACCCCGAUGUCCGGGACAGCCUGUAGAAAUAGAGGGUAAUACCGGAUAGAUCACUGUUUACGUGAGGUAGACAGCGGGAAAGGAGCUUCGGCUCCGCGACGGGAUCGGUCUGCGGCCCAUCAGCUGGACGGCGGGGUAAAGGCCCGCCGUGGCGAGGACGGGUAUCCGGCCUGAGAGGGCGGACGGACACAUUGGGACUGAGAUACGGCCCAGACUCCUACGGGAGGCAGCAGGUAAGAAUAUUCCGCAAUGGGGGGAACCCUGACGGAGCGACGCCGCGUGAACGAAGAAGGCCGGAAGGUUGUAAAGUUCUUUUCUGUCCGAGGAAUAAGUUUCGGAGGAAAUGCCGGGACGGUGACGGUAGGGCAGGAAUAAGCACCGGCUAAUUACGUG
rnacentral:rRNA from 1 species